AUUGAACGCUGGCGGCAGGCCUAACACAUGCAAGUCGAACGAGUGGCGGACGUGUGCGUAAUGUCUGGGAAACUGCCUGAUGGAGGGGGAUAACUACUGGAAACGGUAGCUAAUACCGCAUACCAUCAGAUGUGCCCAGAUGGGAUUAGCUAGUUGGUGGGGUAACGGCUCACCAAGGCGACGAUCCCUAGCUGGUCUGAGAGGAUGACCAGCCACACUGGGACUGGGACACGGUCAAGACUCCUGCGGGAGGCAGCAGUGGUGAAGAUUGCACAAUGGGCGGAAGCCUGAUGCAGCCAUGCCGCGUGGAUGAAGAAGGCCUUCGGGUUGUAAAGUACUUUCAGCGGGGAGGCGUUACCCGCAGAAGAAGCACCGGCUAACGCCGUGCCAGCAGCCGCGGUAAUAC
rnacentral:rRNA from 1 species